AAUAGAUACCCAGGUAGUCCACGCCGUAAACGAUGAGUGCUAAGUGUUAGAGGGUUUCCGCCCUUUAGUGCUGCAGCUAACGCAUUAAGCACUCCGCCUGGGGAGUACGGUCGCAAGACUGAAACUCAAAGGAAUUGACGGGGGCCCGCACAAGCGGUGGAGCAUGUGGUUUAAUUUGAAGCAACGCGAAGAACCUUACCAGGUCUUGACAUCCCACUGACCGGUAUAGAGAUAUACCUUUCCCUUCGGGGACAGUGGUGACAGGUGGUGCAUGGUUGUCGUCAGCUCGUGUCGUGAGAUGUUGGGUUAAGUCCCGCAACGAGCGCAACCCUUGAUCUUAGUUGCCAGCAUUUAGUUGGGCACUCUAAGGUGACUGCCGGUGACAAACCGGAGGAAGGUGGGGAUGACGUCAAAUCAUCAUGCCCCUUAUGACCUGGGCUACACACGUGCUACAAUGGAUGGUACAAAGGGCUGCAAGACUGCGAAGUCAAGCCAAUCCCAUAAAACCAUUCUCAGUUCGGAUUGC
rnacentral:rRNA from 1 species